GAGUGUUUGUGUGCAGUUCCCUUGGUUGGUUUGUGCACAGGUUUGGCACAGUGAGUGUUUGUGUGCAGUUCCCUUGGUUGGUUUGUGCACAGGUUUGGCACAGUGGGUGUUUGUGAGCAGUUCCCUUGGUUUGUGUGUGCACAGGUUUGGCACAGUGGGUGUUUGUGUGCAGUUCCCUUGGUUGGUUUGUGCACAGGUUUGGCACAGUGGGUGUUUGUGUGCAGUUCCUUGGUUUGUGUGUGCACAGGUUUGGCACAGUGGGUGUUUGUGUGCAGUUCCCUUGGUUGGUUUGUGCACAGGUUUGGCACAGUGGGUGUUUGUGUGCAGUUCCCUUGGUUUGUAGGUCCAGUGUGGAUUCUGUCCCUCUGCAAGCUCUGUCACUGCUGCUCUGAGGGACCUCUCUGGAGAGCACCACUCUCACCUUGUGUGCUGCCUUCUCCCCUUGUCUGCUUGCUCUAAACGGGUUAUUUGUUCUAGAUCACUCCCCGAGCACUGUCCCUGGAUGGAAUCCUCAUCCCCUGAGCACUGCCACCAGCCUCUGUGUGACCCUCUCUGGUGAGAGCUCCUCAAGCAGUGCCAUAAACUCAGGGAUGCUGUGAAAGCCUUUUAUGGAAGGAUUUCUUCAGGCUGCGUGUUAUUGAUGGUUCCUGCAGGUUCACACACACCGUGCAGAAACUUGUCCUUAAGAUGCUCAGACUCUGCAAUAUCAAAAAUAGACUGAAGAGAAGAAGGUACUGAGAGAGGCAGGACAACCUGUCAGCAGCCUCUGGCUUCCCAGAUCUGGUGGGAAGUUCUGAUUUCCUCCAAAGUGGCAGCAGCUCGCUCGCUGAGGGUGCCAAGCAGACAGAUGGCAAUGUUGAAGUGUUCUCUGUUGUGCCUAUCAUCAGGUCUAGUAAAGAGACAACUCAGGAGCAACAACAUGCUGGGGUAGAGUAAAUAAUACUUGCUACCACUUUUUUGUGGGGAGGGAGGCUGUUUGUGGGAAGCUGCUGAUGCACAGCUGAGCUGGACGCUUUAAUUUGGAUGGAGAAGAAAUAUUAGUUAGGAGGAUGGGUUUAUAUUAACAUUGUGCUGCCUUGGAGCAGAGAAAUUAAAAUUUGAUUCCUAUAGAAAAAGAAUAACUGUAAUGUUCAAGUUCAGUGGAAGGAAGGAGGGAAGGGAGCCCCAGAGUGCCAGGGGGGAUAACUCUGCUUUGGCACGGGGUGCUGCCUCUCUGUCUUUGCUUUUUCUCCCAGAUCCACAUCUGGCUGUUCCAUGUUCUGUUCAAAAUGCCAAGAUAAACUCUGAGAUGUUAAGCCUUGUGUUUUACCUGUGUAAGCAGUAGCAAUUAAACUAAUUAUUGUAUAAUCAUAAGGAGAACCGUGAGAAACUGUGUGUUACUAGUCUGAGGUGGCCAUGCUUGGCUGGAAUCUGUGUGUACUAUAGAACAAUGUAAGUUUAAUAAUUAACAUUAAAGUUAUAUAAGGGUAGAAUAUAAAAGCAUUUCCAUCCCGAACCUGUGUCGGAGUCAGAUUUGGGUCUGCACCCCUGACACCCAGAGCUCUUCAAUAAAAGCACCUGCAUAGAAUCAUUUCUCGUGAUUUUGUGUUCCUGAACGCUGACAAAAGUGGCUACAAAAGCAAAAUAAAGUGAAUAAAAACCCCACCAAGCCCCUGGAGUGACCAUGAAAACCAGGCAGUGCUUUCUGACCUGCUGACCACUUGCUGCUUUAUUUACUGGGUCGUGUUUAGUAUUAAAAGGAAAUGAGUCUCACCAGAUCAGCAAAUAGCCCUGCAAACUCAGAUAAUCUGCACAUCCAAAGGCUACAAUUUUCCUAUUGCACAGCCUCCUUAAAGACACUGUACCUGCAGAACCCACAGCUCUGUGCAAUCAAUUGAUUGCCAAAAGUUAUUAU